AAUACUUAGGAAUCUACCUAUUAAUGGGGGACAACAUUUCGAAAGGAAUGCUAAUACCGCAUACGCCCUACGGGGGAAAGCAGGGGAUCUUCGGACCUUGCGUUAAUAGAUGAGCCUAAGUCGGAUUAGCUAGUUGGUGGGGUAAAGGCCUACCAAGGCGACGAUCUGUAGCGGGUCUGAGAGGAUGAUCCGCCACACUGGGACUGAGACACGGCCCAGACUCCUACGGGAGGCAGCAGUGGGGAAUAUUGGACAAUGGGGGGAACCCUGAUCCAGCCAUGCCGCGUGUGUGAAGAAGGCCUUUUGGUUGUAAAGCACUUUAAGCGAGGAGGAGGCUACUCUAGUUAAUACCUAGAGCUAGUGGACGUUACUCGCAGAAUAAGCACCGGCUAACUCUGUGCCAGCAGCCGCGGUAAUACAGAGGGUGCGAGCGUUAAUCGGAUUUACUGGGCGUAAAGCGUGCGUAGGUGGCCAAUUAAGUCAAAUGUGAAAUCCCCGAGCUUAACUUGGGAAUUGCAUUCGAUACUGGUUGGCUAGAGUAUGGGAGAGGAUGGUAGAAUUCCAGGUGUAGCGGUGAAAUGCGUAGAGAUCUGGAGG
rnacentral:rRNA from 1 species